rnacentral:rRNA from 1 species
AUACAGAGGGUGCAAGCGUUAAUCGGAAUUACUGGGCGUAAAGCGCGCGUAGGCGGUUUGAUAAGUCGGAUGUGAAAUCCCUGGGCUCAACCUGGGAACUGCAUUCGAAACUGUCUGACUAGAGUAUGGUAGAGGGUGGUGGAAUUCCUAGUGUAGCGGUGAAAUGCGUAGAUAUUAGGAGGAACAUCAGUGGCGAAGGCGACCACCUGGACCAAUACUGACGCUGAGGUGCGAAAGCGUGGGGAGCAAACAGGAUUAGAAACCCCAGUGUCC